rnacentral:rRNA from 1 species
AAAUUAUUCUUUUAGUUAAAGUAAUUUCAAAACAAAUCAUUUUUUAAAGUAAUUAAAAAGAAUAAAAGAAAAAAAAAGAAAUAGUAAAACUUUGUUCCUUGUGUAUCAUGAUACAUAGAAAUAGAAUAAUAAUUUUUCAUCUCGAAAAGAAAAGAACUAGAAAUCAUUUUGCUUAAUGUUACAUAAUUAUUAAUAAAGAAAUCUAGAAAUAAAAGAUUUUCAUUUUUCUUGAUAUCUAGUUAUUUUAGAAAGAAAUUCAAUUUCAAUUAUUUUCAUAAAGAAAAUGAAUCAAAUUUUUAAGGGAUUAUCUUUAAAAACUAUAUUAAUUUAAAGAUAACAAAAAAAAAAGGAAUUAAAUUAACCAAAAAAUCUAACAAUUACAAUUUUUUAAAAUAAAUUUUAUAUUAAUUAAGAUUAUAUAAAAUUUUUAAAACAAAGGCAAAAAAAAAUUAUUAUGUAAUUAGUAAAUCUUAAAAAAAAAACUUAGGAACUCGGCAAAUAAAAUUAUCCGAAUGUUUAACAAAAACAUUGUUUCUAGAAAUUAUUAGAAAUAAAACCUGCUCAGUGAAAUUUAAACAGCCUUUUUUAGCUAAGGUAGCAUAAUAACUUGUCUUUUAAUUUAAGGCUAGAAUGAAAGGUCAAACGAGAUAAAAACUUUCUUAAUUAUAUAAAUUUAAUUUUUCCUUUAAGUUAAAAGACUUAAAUAUAUUUAAAGGACGACAAGACCCUAUAGAACUUAAAAUUUUCCUCAAAUAUAAAAAAAGAAAAAAUUUUACUGGGGAAGUAAAAAAAUAAAAAUUUUUUUUAAAAAAAACUAUUAGAAGAAUUAAAGAUCCUCACUAGAGAAAGAAGAAAAAGUUACCUUAGGGAUAACAGAGUUAAGUUUUUUGAGAGAUCAAAUCGAAAAAAAAUAUUGCUACCUCGAUGUUGAAUUAAGAUAAAUAAUAAUAGAAGAAAAUUAUUUUAUUAGGUCUGUUCGACCUUAAAAUCUUACAUGAUUUGAGUUAAGACCGGCGUAAGCCAGGUUGGUUUCUAUCCUUAAGUCAACAACUUUUUUUAGUACGAAAGGACCAAAAAAGAUAAAUUAUUUAAAUACAAAUCA